rnacentral:rRNA from 1 species
UGGGGAAUAUUGGACAAUGGGCGAAAGCCUGAUCCAGCAAUGCCGCGUGAGUGAAGAAGGCCUUCGGGUUGUAAAGCUCUUUUACCCGGGAUGAUAAUGACCGUACCGGGAGAAUAAGCCCCGGCUAACUCCGUGCCAGCAGCCGCGGUAAUACGGAGGGGGCUAGCGUUGUUCGGAAUCACUGGGCGUAAAGCGUGCGUAGGCGGCCAUUCAAGUCAGAGGUGAAAGCCCAGGGCUCAACCUUGGAACUGCCUUUGAAACUAGAUGGCUCGAACACGGGAGAGGUGAGUGGAAUUCCGAGUGUAGAGGUGAAAUUCGUAGAUAUUCGGAAGAACACCAGUGGCGAAGGCGGCUCACUGGACCGUUGUUGACGCUGAGGCACGAAAGCGUGGGGAGCAAA